rnacentral:rRNA from 1 species
UACAGAGGGUGCGAGCGUUAAUCGGAAUUACUGGGCGUAAAGCGCACGUAGGCGGCUUGGUAUGUCGGGUGUGAAAUCCCCGGGCUCAACCUGGGAACUGCAUCCGAGACUGCAUUGCUAGAGUAUGGGAGAGGGAAGUGGAAUUUCCGGUGUAGCGGUGAAAUGCGUAGAUAUCGGAAGGAACAUCAGUGGCGAAAGCGACUUCCUGGACCAAUACUGACGCUCAUGUGCGAAAGCGUGGGGAGCAAACAGG